UACAGUCAUAUCAGGUUGGCACGUCGUUUCUCGUACGAUCACCGAAGUUAAGCAGAUUCAAGCCUAGCCAGUAACUUGCUGGGUGACCGCUUGGAAAUGCCAGGUGUUGUA